rnacentral:rRNA from 1 species
GACGAACCGAGCGAACGUUAUUCGGAAUUACUGGGCGUAAAGCGCACGUAGGCGGAUUCGUAAGUCAGGGGUGAAAUCCCGGGGCUCAACCUCGGAACUGCCUUUGAUACUGCGGAUCUCGAGUCCGAUAGAGGUGGGUGGAAUUCCUAGUGUAGAGGUGAAAUUCGUAGAUAUUAGGAAGAACACCGGUGGCGAAGGCGGCCCACUGGAUCGGUACUGACGCUGAGGUGCGAAAGCGUGGGGAGCAAACAGG